rnacentral:rRNA from 1 species
AAACUUUCAACAAUAGAUCUCUUGGCUCUCGCAUCGAUGAAGAACGCAGCGAAAUGCGAUAAGUAAUAUGAAUUGCAGAAUUCCGUGAAUCAUCAAAUCUUUGAACGCAAAUUGCACUUCUUGGUAUUCCGAGGAGUACACAUGCUUGAGGGUCAGU